GACGAAUGCUGGCGGCGUGCCUAAUACAUGCAAGUUGAGCGAUGAAGAUUGGUGCUUGCACCAAUUUGAAGAGCAGCGAACGGGUGAGUAACGCGUGGGGAAUCUGCCUUUGAGCGGGGGACAACAUUUGGAAACGAAUGCUAAUACCGCAUAACAACUUUAAACAUAAGUUUUAAGUUUGAAAGAUGCAAUUGCAUCACUCAAAGAUGAUCCCGCGUUGUAUUAGCUAGUUGGUGAGGUAAAGGCUCGCCAAGGCGAUGAUACAUAGCCGACCUGGGAGGGUGAUCGGCAACAUUGGGACUGAGAAACGGCCCAAACUCCUACGGGAGGCAGCAGUAGGGAAUCUUCGGCAAUGGACGAAAGUCUGACCGAGCAACGCCGCGUGAGUGAAGAAGGUUUUCGGAUCGUAAAACUCUGUUGGUAGAGAAGAACGUUGGUGAGAGUGGAAAGCUCAUCAAGUGACGGUAACUACCCAGAAAGAGACGGCUAACUACGUGCCAGCCGCCGCCGUAA
rnacentral:rRNA from 1 species